rnacentral:tRNA from 1 species
GGAGGAGUAGCGAAGUGGCUAAACGCGACGGACUGUAAAUCCGUUCUUUAGGGUUCAGUGGUUCGAAUCCACUCUCCUCCA